ACGAGACCUUAACCUGCUAACUAGUCAUGUCCAUUUUAUGGUCGUUGACUUCUUAGAGGGACUAUGUCGCAAAAACAUGGCAAGUUUGAGGCAAUAACAGGUCUGUGAUGCCCUUAUAUAUCCUGGGCUGCACGCGUGCUACACUGAUGCAUACAGCAAGUGCCUAGCUAGCUAUAGCAUGGCAAUCUCGAAUAUGCAUCGUGAUGGGGAUAGAUCUUUGCAAUUAUAGAUCUUGAACGAGGAAUUCCUAGUAAGUGCAAGUCAUCAUCUUGCAUUGAUUAUGUCCCUGCCCUUUGUACACACCGCCCGUCGCUCCUACCGAUACCGGGUGAUUCGGUGAACCUUUUGGACUGUUUCGGCACAAGAAAAGUAAAUCAUAUCACCUAGAGGAAGGAGAAGUCGUAACAAGGUUUCCGUUGGUGAACCUGCRGAAGGAUCA
rnacentral:rRNA from 1 species